rnacentral:rRNA from 1 species
ACAGCCAUACCACCCUGAGCGCAACCGAUCUCAUCUGAUCUCGGAAGCUAAGCAGGGUUGGGCCUGGUUAAUGCUUGGAUGGGAGAAGGUUCAGCCUGGUUCCUCAGUGUU